UACUUUGUGGUCAAGCGGUAAAAACACUUGCCUCUCGCCCUAGAGUCCCGGGUUCGAUCUCCGGUCGAGGAGCUAG